rnacentral:rRNA from 1 species
AACGUAGGACGCAAGCGUUAUCCGGAUUUACUGGGCGUAAAGGGCGCGCAGGCGGUUCUGUUUGUCGAGUGUGAAAGCCCCGGGCUCAACCUGGGAACUGCGCUCGAAACGGCGGAACUAGAGUUCGGGAGAGGAGAGUGGAAUUCCCAGUGUAGAGGUGAAAUUCGUAGAUAUUGGGAAGAACACCGGUGGCGAAGGCGGCUCUCUGGACCGAUACUGACGCUGAGGCGCGAAAGCGUGGGGAGCAAACAGG